CAUUCAUACAACCAUCCAAACAUGCAUCCAACCAUGCAUCCAACUAUUUGUACAACCAUCCAGCCAUGCAUCCAACCGUUCAUGCAACCAUCCAACCAUGCAUCCAACCAUCUGUCAGUGUUUCAUCCUCCUCUUCGUGGUCCUGAAGUCUUCAUCUCUGAGCUGCUUUCAGACUCAGAAACUUCUCCAUUUUCUCUUCAUGUGUUUUUACUUACCAGCAUCCUCCUCUUCCUCCUCAUCCUCCUCUUCCUCCUCAUCCUCCUCUACCUCCUCAUCCUCCUCUUCCUCCUGGUGAAGGCCUGAAGCAGAUCUGACUCCUCUUCCUCUGUCGUAGAAACAGACGGGGCUAAAGCUGCCACACCCCAAAUCCCUAAAGCAGAGUGGGCAGAUUUUAGUUCUCAGGUUUUUAAAAAUCUAAUUUUGGAUCAUGGUGAGCAGAUGAUCUAAUCCUUAAAUCAUCCUCCUCCUCCUCAUCUUCAUCACACAGAGACAGUCCAGCUGAGGGAGGGGCGUGUCUGAAGCUUUGAAGGAGGAGUCUCAGGAAAGGUUCAGCUUUUAUUUAGAACAGAUUUUCUCUCAGGUCACUUAUUUCUGCAGGAAACUCUUCAAACGUCUUUCAGCUUCAGGUGAUCUGCUCAGGUGAGCUGCUCAGGUGAGCUGCUCAGGUGAUCUGCUCAGGUAAUCUGCUCAGGUGAGCUGCUCAGGUGAGCUGCUCAGGUGAUCUGCUCAGGUGAGCUGCUCAGGUGAUCUGCUCAGGUGAGCUGCUCAGGUGAUCUGCGCUGCUCAGGUGAUCUGCUCAGGUGAUCUGCUCAGGUGGGCUGCUCAGGUGAGCUGCUCAGGUGAUCUGCUCAGGUGGGCUGCUCAGGUGAUCUGCUCAGGUGGGCUGCUCAGGUGUGCUGCUCAGGUGAUCUGCUCAGGUGGGCUGCUCAGGUGAUCUGCUCAGGUGAUCUGCUCAGGUGAGCUGCUCAGGUGAUCUGCGCUGCUCAGGUGAUCUGCUCAGGUGGGCUGCUCAGGUGAUCUGCUCAGGUGAUCUGCUCAGGUGAGCUGCUCAGGUGAUCUGCGCUGCUCAGGUGAUCUGCUCAGGUGGGCUGCUCAGGUGAUCUGCUCAGGUGAUCUGCUCAGGUGGGCUGCUCAGGUGAUCUGCUCAGGUGAGCUGCUCAGGUGAGCUGCUCAGGUAAUCUGCGCUGCUCAGGUGAUCUGCUCAGGUGGGCUGCUCAGGUGAUCUGCUCAGGUGAGCUGCUCAGGUGAGCUGCUCAGGUAAUCUGCGCUGCUCAGGUGAUCUGCUCAGGUGGGCUGCUCAGGUGAUCUGCUCAGGUGAGCUGCUCAGGUGAGCUGCUCAGGUAAUCUGCGCUGCUCAGGUGAUCUGCUCAGGUGGGCUGCUCAGGUGAUCUGCUCAGGUGAGCUGCUCAGGUGAGCUGCUCAGGUAAUCUGCGCUGCUCAGGUGAUCUGCUCAGGUGGGCUGCUCAGGUGAUCUGCUCAGGUGAGCUGCUCAGGUGAGCUGCUCAGGUAAUCUGCGCUGCUCAGGUGAUCUGCUCAGGUGGGCUGCUCAGGUGAUCUGCUCAGGUGGGCUGCUCAGGUGAGCUGCUCAGGGGAUCUGCUCAGGGGAUCUGCUCAGGUGGGCUGCUCAGGUGGGC